AUUUCCUCUUAAUUACAUCCUUUCUAACUAUUUCCUCUCAAAUUAAAUCCUUUCCUUAGUUUUACUCUGGUGUUUGUCCAAAUCUCCUUCAACGAGAUACAAAUUCUGAAUUGCUUGGGAGCUUUAGAUGGCACCUACAUUAGUGUAAGUCUGCAUGCCCAAGAACGGGGAAAAUAUCGGAUAAGAAAAGGUACAAUUGCUAUGAACAUUUUGGGUGUUUGUGCACCUAAUAUGCAAUUUAUCCAUGUUCUUGCCGGUAGGGAAGGCCCUGCAUAUGAUGUCCGUGUUCUUCGCAAUGCUCUUUCUAGGCCAAAUGGCUUAGGGUCCCUUGAGGCACAUACGUUCUACUAAACUAAAAGUAUACAAAUUGUGAGGGCUUUCUUGUUCCAUAUAGAGGGCAACAAUAUCAUCUCAAGGAAUGUACUGAUAAACAACCGCAAACCACCGAAGAAUAUUAUAAUAUAAAACAUGUUCAAGUAAGAAAUGUAAUUGAGAGGCGUUUUAGGCUACUUAUAGGAAGAUGGAGUAUACUUAAAAGCCCCUUAUUUUUCCCCAUUCAAACUUAAGGUGGCAUUAUAAUGGCUUGUUGUUUGCUCCAUAAAUUAAUUAGAAAAGUGUGGCCCACAAAUGAUACAAAAGAAGAGGAGACGAGUGAUGACGAUUUAGAUGAUGAUUCCGAUGAUGAAGUUGAGUACAUUACUACAAUUACAACUUCUGAUCCAUGGACAAAUUAUAGAAAUACGUUAGCUCAAAAUAUGUUUAAUAGUUGGAGGGCAGGAUUUAGACAAGGUCAGUACUUUGUUUAAUAUUUUUUUCUUAUUGAAUGUACCUAAAUUAUAUAUAACUAUCACAAUUAUAGCACUAUUGGUAAUAUAGCUCUUGUACUUAUUAAUUUUUGUAUUGUUUGUAUUGUUUUACAUUU